rnacentral:RNase_P_RNA from 1 species
ACGGGCAGUCGCUGGUAAUAUAUUAUUACGAGAGGAAAGUCCGGACACCGUAAGAGCAUAAUGACUGAUAACAUCAGUUCGCAGUAAUGCGGGGAAAGCGUUACAGAAAAUAACCGCUGUUUUUAUAACAGUAAGGGUGAAAAGGUGAGGUAAGAGCUCACCGUUACUUUUGGUAACAAAGGUAAGCAAAACAAGCCCCAUUAGGUGCAAGGCAAAUAGGCUGCAAAGGCUUGCUCUUAGCCGUUACUUGCAGCGGGUAAGCUGCUUGAGUUAUUAGGCAACUAAUAACCUAGAGAAAUGACUGCCACCAUUUUAUUGGUACAGAAUCCGGCUUAUAGU